UUCCUCGAUAGCUCAGUGGUAGAGCAUUCGGCUGUUAACCGAAGGGUCGUUGGUUCGAACCCAACUCGGGGAGU
rnacentral:tRNA from 3 species